CAGAAUCUGCCGCUCGCUGGCACUCAGUCAUACCGAGAGAGCGAGAGCGGGUCUCACAGACGGCCCAGGUACAGGUACAGAGACGCCCAGGACAGGUGUCCGGACUGGAGGCGCAUGAGCGGAUAACAAAGUCAGCACAGGUUUGAAGGUAGACAGUGUGUGCGCGUGCAUGUUUGUGUGUGUCAGGCACGUGGCGGCCGCUCUCAUUUCCGGGAGUGUCCACACCGUCUGGUCCCUGAAGAUGAACGAUGCUUCUUGUUUGUGGGGGGAGGAGGAGUCUUCAAGGUUAAGCUCUUGGGACCUGGGCAGAGGGCAAAAGCACUCAAUCCCCUGGCCGUGUCCUGACUGAGACGGACGUGGGACGGAUGUCUGUGAGAGAUAUGAAAGAAAAACGGUGGACGAGAGAGAGGAUGCGGUGGUGGUGUGUCUGCGAGAUCGAAUGUUCAAUAUGUUCACAUGCCUAUAGUGAUGAUGAUGAUGGUUUCUUCUGGUUUUUAAAUAAAACUUGAUCCUGUAUGUCUGCUGAGGUGUUUUUCUUUGGGGUGAGGGGUGCAGGAGAGGGUCGUCAUGCUAAUCGCUCUGUCUGGCUGUCUGGUCGCCACUGCAGCUCAUCUAUAAAUGACCUUUAUCGCAUCAGCAGCAGAAGUGCCGGGAUUAUCAGUUAUUCCCACACCAGUCUCUUUUGGUAUGCGAUUAACAAUCAUUUAAUUCUUGAUUUGAAAAAAAUAAAAUCUUGAAUUCGGGAAUCAUUUUUGAUAUUUUGCAAAGAUUUUGUCUUAAAUGAAGGUAAAACAUGCAGCUGUUUUUUCUAGUGCCGCCCUUCAUAGAAGAUCCAAGCACCUGCACUACUAUGAAACAAGUCUGCUUGGAUCUAUCCUCAUGUAUCCACUAAUUUUUUGUCUAAUCUAGUAACGUAAAAUCUGUCUGAUGCAUAGCCAAAAAAGUCGAGCGACAUAUUGAACCAACAUAUGCUGACACCUUCAUUUACACAAAAACGAUUUCUAUGAAUAGACUUCAUUACCUCUUGAAGACCAGUCUUUGCUGUUAGAAGAACAUGCGGCUUGCAGAUGAUUGUGUUUAAAGGCGUCCAUGUUUAUACGUAUCGUCAUGUUGUUUUUGAGCAGAAAUGACAUUGAACUCCAGACGGAUGGUAGUUUUAGGGGGUCUGGUUGGCACGGAGCUGUGGGCUCCUUCCUGUUUUAAGGAUGUGAACUCAUUAAGUCUAACGCCUGGCUUUGUUCUUUAUCUCCCUGGAGUGUUUAACUUUUGAAAACCUAAUUUUGCUAAAUUACCCACAUUAGAAAUAUAGUUUCAAAACAUUUGUUUUCCCCCUAUUGCUCUCUCUGUCACUUUCUGUGUCUCUCUCUCUCUCUUUUCCUCUCUCUAAUUAUAUUUUUCCCCUGCUUGGUUUCACUCUGAACAAUGGCGGAUGCCAACUAAUCAGGCUGGGUCUGUGCCACGAAGCUCCCAGCAACAGCUGAAGCUCUGCCAUGCUCUGUGCAUACCAAGCAGUCAGCCACAACCAGCAAGCGCCAGCCUGGUGCCCAACGCUGGGUCAGACAGUUUUAUUAGGAUCCGUCUGACACUCGGCACAGGCUGGCAGUGCCAACGCACAGAUAAAAUCUUGUGUGCUGCUCACACUAUUCAUCUGAGCUAGCACAUAAAUACUCCCUCAUCCCACACGCUCUCACACACACGGACCGUUUCAUCAGCUAGAUGAGAAAAGGAACAAAGACUUGGAUCCAGCCAGGAACAAAGAUUUUGUUAUUUAAUAAACGGACGACUUCUGAAUGGUCCAGCAAGCAUCAGGGUCUGAUGUCUCAGCCUCAUUGGCAUGGUUUCAUAUUUACAUUUUUGGCUGACAGCACAUUGGACUGAGUUUCAUUUGUGUGCAUCAGAGCAAAAAAUGGUUCGUUUUCUGGCUGAUAAGUCUGACCAGCAUUUUCAAACAGACACAGGCAUCCGGAAAGAUAGCCAGGCAUGCAAACAAUGAAUGAAUGAAUUUGAAAUAGUUUAAUAUUUUAUUAAUAUUUAUAAAUAUUUAUUUAUAGUUUAAUAAAUUGUCUGGCUGUCAGAUUAGCUUAAAAAUAAAACGGAUGGAUGAGAAAAGUUUAUUAAAGACUGAUAAAAUAACUUUAUGAAUAAUGAAAUAUAUAAUAGCUAUAAUUCUCAUAAAUUGUGCAUAAACCUUCUUAAUUGACUUAAUAAGAAAAGUACAUUUAUUUUUGAAGUAAAAUUAUUUUGUUUUAUCUGAAUGGACAACAAGAAUGUUUGGAGUUUAAUUUAAAUAAAAAAUGCUUGUACUUAUAACAUGAAAUGUGUAUUAUAUCAAAGUACACAGACAGCAGUAAAUCAAACAUUUUGAAAUAUAAAACAUACCUAACCUGAUAUCGCAUCGUUUAGUUCACCCAAGAAUCACGGAGUCGUCCUUGUUAUAGACCGCAUGAAAGAUUCCCUUGAUAAAUGUCAGGAGAUAAAGACCGGUCACUGAGGAAUUAAAAGAGCCCGCUGAUGGUGUGUGAGUGUGUGUGUUCUCGCUAACCGCAUGCGGUUUAAAUAAACUGAACAUUUGUCUGGGAUAAAGCUACUGAAAGUAGAUUAAGCAAUAAGAGCUCAGGCAGGAGAAGCUGCAGGAGCCAGGUGAAUUUACAGGAUUACAGGAAUCUUUCUUCCAUUGGUUGUCAGGGAUUGUUGUGGUGCAUGCUAUCAGUGCAGGUCAGAGGAAACAGUGGGUCCUUCUCACUGCUCACUGCAGGUACAAAUAACAGGUGCAAACUCACAGAGCCUUACAAUGUCUGCGUACAUCCAGAUGCUGCCACUGACACAGAAUGCACUUGUUCAUUGUGCAGAAUAUAUUGAUGAGCAUAAUGAUGACAAACAUUCAUUUUCCUAUAUACUCAAAUUCUACUUUAGUGCUCAAAAGUACUGAACAGGCAUUGAUCAUCUUUGCUGUACGUGAAAUUUUGAUUUCUAAUUUCACUUUACAAAUACAGAAUUUGAAGAUUCUAUUGUAAAUGCUAUUCCAGUUAUCAUAUCGGUUAUUGGCCAUAACAACAAAUAUUUUGGUAAAACAGAUCAAGUCUCAAAUCUGUUUCAUAUUACUUGCAUUACGCAUAUUACUCCCUGCUAAAUUUGUUCAUUCAGAAUAUUACUGCAUGUUAAUCAAAGCUUGUUUUAUCAUUAUUUGUUGUCACCCUUUUAUUAAAGCAAUAAGCCACUGGAGGCCACGUAUUAGUCAUUUUAUUAUAGUCAUGUCAUAUUGAGCCUAUUAAGAAAUCAUUUUACCCACUGUUAACACUAGUGAGAAAUAAAUAAAUAUACUAAAAUGUAUUUGAAAUACAUUUAUUUCAUGCUAAGUAUAUUACAAAUAUAUUUACCUAUUUAUGUACUUAAUAAAAUUACCCUUAAGUUGUACUUUUAAUAUACUAAAUUGGUAUAUUUAAAAGAGCCAUUGCGGUUUCCGCAAAGAUCCUUUCUCUGGGAAAGGACUUUUUCUCAGUUUGAAGAACAUUUUAAUAAUCAACCUUUUCACUUUUCAACCCUUUUGUCCAAUGAAAAGGUUCCGAGGAUGUUACAGGUUCUUCAUGAAACCAUCAAUACCAAUAAAGAAUCUUUAUUUGUGAGAGUGUAGAAUCACCUUAUUUGUGUAUGAUUGUGUUGUUUUGAUGGUUAGUUCAAAACUCAGUGGGAUCAGAAUCUCAAAAUGUGCUUUGAUGUGUCAGAUUGGUAUACUUCAUCAUUGUCACUAAUCGUAUGAAAACUGAUUCUAAACUUGAAACUUGCAUCAAACUUCAAAAGACAUAUUAAAGAAGUACAGAUGAUUGUGUGUGUUUUUGCCAGGUGUCCCUUUAGUUGAUAACAAUCAUAUUUCAAAAAAGUGCAUGUCUACUUUGUGGUCCAAGGGUUAAAGCUUCGAUAAUAUCUGUCUGCUGGGGGUUUGAUUAGGUCAGACAGAGAUAUUACAAGAAUUUGAAUAGAAAACCAGAAGUAAUUUUGAAAAUGUCAUUAUUUUAUACAUACAGUACGUCUCUGGGACCCCAAACGUAAAGAAAGCAGAUCAAUCUCAGCCGAGUGUAAUGGCCUGUAAUUGGCCUGCAUCAGUCUAGAGGACGGCCCGUCACUCGUAAAGUCUUUCCUCCCCGAUUCAUCCUGCCCUGUGUGCCCUGUGACUGCUUGCCCUUCUCUGUGAUGUCUGCAGUACUGCUGUGGAGGCGUUGCCAAGGAAACGCAGUAUCUGGCUGGCAGUGUGCUGGAGUUAUUGAACCACAACUAGCUUUUAGCUUUAGAGGAUAAUUAGCUUCUGUCUCACAGGUUUCUCUCAGCCGAUGGGACUCCAGUGGACCCCGCGGCUGCUCUGAGCGUCUUCCUCCAGUCAGAGCUUUUUGGCGGUUAGCGGUGGCCGCAGGUGCUCCUGUUACCUGCACGAAAAGCUGCAUGAGCACCCCAGCAAUCCUCAAACACUCUCUCUCUCUCUCUCUCUCUCUCUCUCUCUCUUACACACACACACACACACAACCCAGACAUAUUUUUGUUCUUCAGCAUACAGUGAGCUCUGGCAGAGAUAUGAAAUAUAUAAACCUGUCUGUAUCCUAAAAUGCACUCUCUCUCACACAUAAAAACACAAACAAACAAACAAAAACAAUCCGUUGUGAAUGAGUGUCCAAAAUAAUACAGAUUCAAUUAAUAUAAUUUCAUAUAAUGCUGUAAUAUAAUUUACAGAUAUACUUAAUGGUUUUAAUUGCAUUAAUUUUCUUCUUUUUAGGUACAGAUGUUAUUUUCAGCUUGAAGGGAACUUGCAGAUUAACUUGAUAUUAUUAUACGCAUUCUUACUGUUUACUAGGAUAUGCCAUAAAAUAAUACCACAUUAUUCAAAACAUAUAUAUUUAUAUUUGCCUUAUUUUACCUUUUAAAAAAAUCAAAACAAGAUAAAUGUACUUAUAAGCAGACAUUUCAGCAAAGUUAUCUUUAAGUUGUUGUCAAUUUUCAAUAUAAUUAAAUGUUUUAUUAUAUAUAUAUAUAUAUAUAUAUAUAUAUAUAUAUAUAU
ensembl:lncRNA